rnacentral:rRNA from 1 species
UAACGUGUCCCGAUGGAUGACUUGG